rnacentral:rRNA from 1 species
GACGAACGCUGGCGGCGUGCUUAACACAUGCAAGUCGAACGGAAAGGCCCUGCUUUUGUGGGGUGCUCGAGUGGCGAACGGGUGAGUAACACGUGAGUAACCUGCCCUUGACUUUGGGAUUACUUCAGGAAACUGGGGCUAAUACCGGAUAGGAGCUCCUGCUGCAUGGUGGGGGUUGGAAAGUUUCGGCGGUUGGGGAUGGACUCGCGGCUUAUCAGCUUGUUGGUGGGGUAGUGGCUUACCAAGGCUUUGACGGGUAGCCGGCCUGAGAGGGUGACCGGCCACAUUGGGACUGAGAUACGGCACAGACUCCUACGGGAGGCAGCAGUGGGGAAUAUUGCACAAUGGGCGGAAGCCUGAUGCAGCAACGCCGCGUGCGGGAUGACGGCCUUCGGGUUGUAAACCGCUUUCGCCUGUGACGAAGCGUGAGUGACGGUAAUGGGUAAAGAGGCACCGGCUAACUACGUG